UAGCAAUAUUAGGGAGUAGGAGUGGCGCAAGGGUGCGUAACACGUGGAUCAUCUGCCUGGAAGUUCGGAAUAAUUCCGCGAAAGCGGGACUAAUGCCGGAUGUGGUUGGAAGACUAAAGUUGGGGACCGCAAGGCCUGACGCUUCCAGAUGAGUCCGCGGCCUAUCAGCUAGUUGGCGGGGUAAUGGCCCACCAAGGCUAAGACGGGUAGCUGGUCUGAGAGGACGACCAGCCUCACUGGAACUGAGACACGGUCCAGACACCUACGGGUGGCAGCAGUCGAGAAUUUUUCUCAAUGGGGGAAACCCUGAAGGAGCGACGCCGCGUGGGGGAUGAAGGGCUUCGGCCCGUAAACCCCUGUCAUUUGCGAACAAGUGUCAUGGUUGAACAUUCCAUGGCUUGAUUGUAGCGAAAGAGGAAGGGACGGCUAACUCUGUGCCAGCAGCCGCGGUAAUACAGAGGUCCCGAGCGUUGUUCGGAUUCACUGGGCGUAAAGGGUGCGCAGGUGGGUUUGCAAGUUUGAUGUGAAAGCCCCGGGCUUAACCCGGGAAUGGCAUUGAAUACUGCAGAUCUGGAGGAUUGGAGGGGGGACUGGAAUUCUCGGUGUAGCA
rnacentral:rRNA from 1 species